rnacentral:rRNA from 1 species
GGAUAACUCCGGGAAACCGGGGCUAAUACCGGAUAAUAUUUUGAACUGCAUAGUUCGAAAUUGAAAGGCGGCUUCGGCUGUCACUUAUGGAUGGACCCGCGUCGCAUUAGCUAGUUGGUGAGGUAACGGCUCACCAAGGCGACGAUGCGUAGCCAACCUGAGAGGGUGAUCGGCCACACUGGGACUGAGACACGGCCCAGACUCCUACGGGAGGCAGCAGUAGGGAAU